rnacentral:lncRNA from 10 species
CUUUAUCUCUCAAAAGCCCAGGCUUCCUGAUAUCAACAUCAUCCAAGGUGACUUUCUGGAAUAAAAGAGGAAUGUGAGAACAUCUGGUAGGGGAUGGCUCAAUAAAGAAAAAGUACAGGGAAUACCCAGCAGCCAAUCUGAAACUGCCAUUCAUAAAGAACUCAUCACAUAGGGAAAGGGCAUAUGGAGUUAUUAAGAAAAAGAACAGAAAGAGUGGGCCCUCUUGUGACAGGUGCCCACCCUGUACCUGAAGGAAAGGAAAGUCCUUA